GUAGGGAAUAUUGGGCAAUGGAGGCAACUCUGACCCAGCCAUGCCGCGUGCAGGAAGACGGUCCUCUGGAUUGUAAACUGCUUUUGAAUGGGAAGAACACUACCCUUGCGAGGGUAUUUGACGGUACUAUUAGAAUAAGCACCGGCUAACUCCGUGCCAGCAGCCGCGGUAAUACGGAGGGUGCAAGCGUUAUCCGGAUUUAUUGGGUUUAAAGGGUGCGUAGGCGGCUUGAUAAGUCUGGGGUUAAAGGCGGCAGCUUAACUGUACGCAUGCCCUAGAUACUGUUGAGCUUGAGUGACCUGGAGGUAGCUGGAAUUCCCUGUGUAGCGGUGAAAUGCAUAGAUACGGGGAGGAAUACCGAUUGCGAAGGCAUGUUACUACGGGUAAACUGACGCUGAUGCACGAAAGCGUGGGGAUCAAACAGGAUUAGAUACCCGGGUAGUCC
rnacentral:rRNA from 1 species